GCGGGUAUAGUUCAGUGGCAGAACACCAGCUUCCCAAGCUGGCUAUGGGGGUUCGAUUCCCCUUACCCGCUCCA
rnacentral:tRNA from 1 species